rnacentral:rRNA from 1 species
UCUUGCACAAUCGGGCGAAAGCCUGNUGCAGCGACGCCGCGUGGGGGAUGAAGCUUUUCGGAGUGUAAACCCCUUUCGACCCGGACGAAUGCCCCGCAAGGGGACUGACGGUACGGGUAUAAGAAGCCCCGGCUAACUACGUGCCAGCAGCCGUGGUAAGACGUGGGGGGCCAGCGUUGCUCGGAAUUACUNGGGUGUAAAGGGUUCGUAGGCGGUGUGGCAAGUCGGGAGUGAAAUCUCUGGGCUUAACUCAGAGACUGCUUCCGAAACUGCUGUGCUUGAGUGUGGGAGAGGCGCGUGGAAUUGCAGGUGUAGCCGGUGAAAUGCGUAGAUAUCUGCAGGAACACCCGUGGCGAAAGCGGCGCGCUGGACCACUACUGACGCUGAGGAACGAAAGCUAGGGGAGCAAACAGGAUUAGAUACCCUGGUAGUCCUAGCCCUAAACGAUCAGGACUUGGGGUGCCGCACGUUCGUGCGUCGUCCCGGAGCUAACGCGUUAAGUCCUGCACCUGGGGAGUACGGUCGCAAGACUGAAACUCAAAGAAAUUGACGGA